rnacentral:rRNA from 1 species
GACGAACGCUGGCGGCGUGCCUAAUACAUGCAAGUUGAGCGAUGAAGAUUGGUGCUUGCACCAAUUUGAAGAGCAGCGAACGGGUGAGUAACGCGUGGGGAAUCUGCCUUUGAGCGGGGGACAACAUUUGGAAACGAAUGCUAAUACCGCAUAAUAACUUUAAACAUAAGUUUUAAGUUUGAAAGAUGCAAUUGCAUCACUCAAAGAUGAUCCCGCGUUGUAUUAGCUAGUUGGUGAGGUAAAGGCUCACCAAGGCGAUGAUACAUAGCCGACCUGAGAGGGUGAUCGGCCACAAUGGGACUGAGACACGGCCCAAACUCCUACGGGAGGCAGCAGUAGGGAAUCUUCGGCAAUGGACGAAAGUCUGACCGAGCAACGCCGCGGGAGUGAAGAAGGUUUUCGGAUCGUAAAACUCUGUUGGUAGAGAAGAACGUUGGUGAGAGUGGAAAGCUCAUCAAGUGACGGUAACUACCCAGAAAGGGACGGCUAACUACGUG